AUUGAACGCUGGCGGCAUGCCUUACACAUGCAAGUCGAACGGUAACAGGUCUUCGGAUGCUGACGAGUGGCGAACGGGUGAGUAAUACAUCGGAACGUGCCCGAUCGUGGGGGAUAACGAGGCGAAAGCUUUGCUAAUACCGCAUACGAUCUACGGAUGAAAGCGGGGGAUCUUCGGACCUCGCGCGGACGGAGCGGCCGAUGGCAGAUUAGGUAGUUGGUGGGAUAAAAGCUUACCAAGCCGACGAUCUGUAGCUGGUCUGAGAGGAUGAUCAGCCACACUGGGACUGAGACACGGCCCAGACUCCUACGGGAGGCAGCAGUGGGGAAUUUUGGACAAUGGGCGAAAGCCUGAUCCAGCCAUGCCGCGUGCAGGACGAAGGCCUUCGGGUUGUAAACUGCUUUUGUACGGAACGAAAAGCCUCUUUCUAAUAAAGAGGGGUCAUGACGGUACCGUAAGAAUAAGCACCGGCUAACUACGU
rnacentral:rRNA from 1 species